UUCUUAUUGAACCUACAGGUUAUGGCCAUGUAACCGGGAUGAUGCACCACGUCGGUGUUCUGUCGCAUCAAUGUCGGCGGGUGAACGCACACGUUGUUCUUGCAAAACAACGCCUCACCAUCCUGGAUAUUUGGCAGAGGCAUCUUCGCUCAAGGCAGGCCGGCGCAUGCAUGCAAAUCAUCUAGUUUAAUUUUGUUAGAACGUGCCGCGACAAUUUCACCGUGUUCGCGCGAUCAAACUUCUCGUCUAGGAGAGCGGUCGGAUCGUCGGGGGACGAUCACGGCAAGACCCAAAUGACAAUCGUCGAAGCGUGAUCACGAGGGUAUAACGCGUUGCCAGAAAACAGAUCGAUUGCAACGAAUACAAUCCUGUCCUUUACACUAGGAAACACGAUAUUCACGUAAAAGGUAAAAAGUUCCGAUUUCACUGUUCCUUUUCCUGGCAACUCUCAACGUCGAACAUCAUGCCGAGUUUGAUGUUUCUAGAGUGCAGCAGAACUGCUCGGAGGUCGAACUUCGUCGCGCAGAAGCGCGCGAAUAGACCUGCAUCGGAAUGCUAUAAUGAACUGAUUCCUCUUCCUGAACGUAACGUUAUCGUACGCUCGUUGCGUGCAUGUUAUCACGUCAAUUAGCUUUGAUAUACGCAUAGAGCCGAUAAAACGUGUACACAUAUGGAGAAGCAUGCAUCUCAAUUACUUAAAUCUCUCUCGUCUUUACCUGUUUCUUUUCUUUUUCUCUGUUUUCUGUUUCUUUUUAUUUACGAGGAUAACACGUCGUCAAAAUUCUCUUCUCCAAAGACCAGAAAUCGUCAGGACUUCAUUGUGUUUGAAAUUCUUACGAAAAACGAAGUUAAUCGACUUAACUUUCACUUGAAUGGAUUCAUGAAUGAAAGAUGUAUCAUCGGCACUACUCGUUGUGUGUAAUCGAACUUUGAAUGAAAACGCGUUGGUCACUUUCUGAAACGCGAAACGUUUGUUAGAAUCACUUGCAAUGAAUCGCUAUUUGCACGACGUUCAUUAUUUAUUUCGUUGCUCGAUUUCUAACGAAUAAACGAAUUAUGAAUCUAACGUCAACCUGCUGCUCAGUACUGUAGUAAAACGUGUUUGCCAACAGACAGAACACAGAUGCCUCUUAUCCAGAAUCAAUAUUUCCAUCUGAUCGUGAACCUGGUGGUUGGCUUACUAUCCAAGCCGCCGACAUAACGUUGUCUAGCGUUGUACAUAUGGUUUUUAUUGAUUUUUCUCCUCAAGUUAAGUUUGAAUUAUUUGCUCUCGAUUUUCAUGAAACGAGCUUGCCUUCUUAUAAUCUCGUUCGGAAGAUACUUUUACGAGCAGUCUUUCUUCUCAAACUUAUUAAAGUUUGUUUAAAGUAUACUUUAUAAUAUGCGUCAAAUAAUUUUGUAAUUUGUUUUGUUAAAUUAUCUGAAGGUAUUUAGAAGUAAAAUGGUACAUUUAUGUGUCAAAGAUAAUUUUUAUUACCUUUCUAAAACAUUUUUUCUACAAAUACCAAUAAAAAAAAAACAUUUGAUAUCAGAUAUAAAAAAACGUAUGACGUACGAUUGUAGAGCACAAUCAUUUUAAAAUAAGACAUAAAUAUUACAAACUAGCAUCAACAAUGAAUCGUGAUAAAUAAACAACAUGUAGAAUAUAUUACUGAUGAUUAGGAACAUUUAAAAAUUCGAAAUAUUUAUAUUUAUUUAAUGAUGUAUGUUUCUUCAUUAAUGAAGAACUUAAUAUCUAUAUCACAGAUAAUAGAUGUAUAUAAAUUAAUGUAAUUCAUAGUUAAAAAGUAUUUCAUGAUUAUUGUCUAACGCUAAUGCUGAUUUAGGUCCACGUUUUAAAUAUGAAAUUGUAGAAUAUGCAGAGAAGUGAAAAUCUUCUUGUAAAUAACCAUUUACAAGUAAAUGUCCUAUUACACUUUCUCCUGAUUCUCUUGUAAAUUUUGGAACUGGUAUAGAAGAUACCCUCAAAGUUGAUGCACCCUUACCAUACCAGGCAUCUAUAAGCUUUAAGGCGGUUAAUCUGGUUUCACUUUGUACCGCUUUUGUCAUGAUCUGAUAUAACUGUCUACAAUAAGGAGCUAUAUUCACUUGUUUACUCUCUUUAGGUUUUCGACAAUGAUCGCACAUUUCUGCGCAAUCAGUUCUAGUCCAAACUUCUUCGAAGUGAGUUGCAAUCAAGCUACGUCUACACGAUGUUUGAUCUAAACAAUACGCUAGCAUUUUGUACAAAUUUUGUAAACCAACUUUAUCUUGAAACACCAUUGUACUUAAUUUAAAUAUAUCCAAUAGUCUGUA